rnacentral:rRNA from 1 species
UGGGGAAUUUUAGACAAUGGGCGCAAGCCUGAUCCAGCAAUGCCGCGUGAGUGAAGAAGGCCCUCGGGUUGUAAAGCUCUUUUGUCAGGGAAGAAACGGCUGUGGCUAAUAUCCACGGCUAAUGACGGUACCUGAAGAAUAAGCACCGGCUAACUACGUACCAG